rnacentral:sRNA from 12 species
UAAUAGUGCAGGUAGCAAUACACUGUAUACUCGCGUAACUGGACCAAUUGUUGUUUAAGCGAUAUUUGAUAUCGUCAGCCGCGGGGACGCCGAAAGGCGUUUUUUUUUACC